UUAAAUGAGCGAUUAACUCAAAAGUUAAGAUGGCGUCGGUUAUUUUCAAAUGGUAUCAAUCGUCAAAUUUCGUCGAGAGAUGGCGCCAGUGGUUACGUUACGUCAAACCCGUAUCCAUGUAGUAUAUCUACCCUUUUCGCGAAAUUCCACGGUCUGAAAGUGGCAGCGCGUGGCCGUCGUUCGUUGUUCGUUGUUAGUUCGUUUCGUUUCGUACGUACGUACGUAAGUAAUUAAUUAACCAAUCAAGUUGGAAAAUUGUUUUCUACGAAUGCAAGAACGAGUAUCCUCGUGAUAGCGAGGCCGAGUUAAACCGGCUGACAUAACCUCACAUUAUUGUCGUCGAUCAAGAGGAAGAGUGAGAGAGAGAGAGGGGGUGAGAGAGAGAGAGAGAGAAAGCGAGAGAGAAAGAAAGAAAGAAAGAUUCAAGCAGACAGGAAAAAACGUUCGUCGUCGUCGUCGUCGUCGUUGUCGUCGUCGUCAUCGUCGUCAUCGUCGUCGUCGUCGUCGUCGAAAGACGCCGUCAGCAUGAACGGGUAAGAUUCCCGGCCAACUUGGCGCUCGUCCAUAUUUCGCCGCUUCGAAUUUGGCGGCGGCCAACAACAACAACAACAACAACAACAACAACAACAUCAACAUCACAUCUCCAACGGGCCCUGCAAUUGUUAUUUUCUUUCCCCCUACCCCCGACACCCCCCUGUGAACGUGACGAAACGCCACGUGGAGAACGUUAGUAAAAUUAAUCGUACAUAUGCGAUUAUAAUAAAAGAGACGAAUCAGAAGAAGUAAACGUCGUCAUCGUCACCGUAAUAACAUCAUUCAACGUAAUCGUCAUCACCACCAACUGUGUGUUCGAUUGGCCCGAUUGUGUUUUUAUCGGAGGACAACUCGGCAAAAAGACGUGGAAGAGAGAACGGUCACAACAAACCUCGUGAGAGCUGUUGCUGCUGUUUCUCUAUGCUGUUGCUGCUAAAUUGUUCGUCUUGUUAAUUCUUCCUUUUCACAUUCUUCUUGUUUCUCCUUCUCCUCCUCCUCCUCCUCCUCCUCCUCCUCCUCCUCCUCUUCCUCCUCUUCCUUCUUCUUAUUCCUUUCCUUCUCUUCCUCCU